rnacentral:rRNA from 1 species
AGAGUUUGAUCCUGGCUCAGAAUCAACGCUGGCGGCGUGCCUAACACAUGCAAGUCGAACGAGAAAGCGGGGGCAACUCCGCGAGUACAGUGGCGAACGGGUGAGUAACACGUGACUAACCUGCCUUCGAGCGGGGGAUAACCCCGGGAAACCGGGGCUAAUACCGCAUAACAUCCCAGGAUGAAAUUCCCUGUGAUCAAAUGCGCAAGCAGCUUGAAGAGGGGGUCGCGCCUGAUUAGCUAGUUGGUGAGGUAACGGCUCACCAAGGCGAUGAUCAGUAGCCGGCCUGAGAGGGCGCACGGCCACACUGGAACUGAAACACGGUCCAGACUCCUACGGGAGGCAGCAGUGGGGAAUUUUGCGCAAUGGGGGAAACCCUGACGCAGCAACGCCGCGUGGAGGAUGAAGUCCCUUGGGACGUAAACUCCUUUCGACCGGGACGAAUAUUGACGGUACCGGUGGAAGAAGCCCCGGCUAACUUCGUGCCAGCCGCCGCGGUAAUAC